rnacentral:rRNA from 1 species
UACAGAGGGGGCAAGCGUUGUUCGGAAUUACUGGGCGUAAAGCGCGCGCAGGCGGCCUCGCGCGCCCGACGUGAAAGCCCCCGGCUUAACCGGGGAGGGUCGUUGGGGACGGCGGGGCUUGAGGGCGGGAGAGGGCGGUGGAAUUCCCGGUGUAGUGGUGAAAUGCGUAGAGAUCGGGAGGAACACCUGUGGCGAAGGCGGCCGUCUGGGCCGACCCUGACGCUGAGGCGCGAAGGCGUGGGGAGCGAACGGG